AAGUCGUAACAAGGUCUCCGUUGGUGAACCAGCGGAGGGAUCAUUGCUGGAACAAACGCCCUCACGGGCGCUACCCAGAAACCCUUUGUGAAUUAUACCUAUUGUUGCCUCGGCAUUGGUUGGCUUCGAAUGAAGUCCCUGGCCCCCCUCUGGGGAGCCUGGAGCAGACCGGCCGACGGCCCCUAUAAACUCUUGUUUUUGUAUUAUCUUCUGAGUAAACAACUAUAAAUGAAUCAAAACUUUCAACAACGGAUCUCUUGGUUCUG
rnacentral:misc_RNA from 1 species